rnacentral:rRNA from 1 species
CCCUUAGAUGUUCUGGGCAGCACGCGCGCUACAAUGGUCUUCGCAAACGGAUGCAUUCUCGAAGGAGAAUGCCAAUCUUGGAAUCUAUGCCUUGGUCGGGACAGUCGCUUGCAAUUUUUCGACUCGAACCAGGAAUUCCUUGUAAUCGUGAUUCAUCACAUCACGAUGAAUACGUCCCUGCCCUUUGUACACACCGCCCGUCGCUCCUACCGAUCGAAGAGUUAGGUGAAUUGUUUUGAUCGAUAAGAUUUGACUAUGGUCAACUCUCGUUGUGAAAUUCUGUGAAUCUGACUGUUUAGAGGAAGGAAAAGUCGUAACA